GCGCUCUGGAGGAGUCGCCGAAGCUGCGGCGGCGCAUGCGCGCGCGGCAGGCGCGCCAGCAAAUGGCACCAUUCAGGGAGAUGCUGCCGCUGACCCGGUUCUGGCUCCGGUGGCGGCGACCUUCGGUGGCGGGGGUCCCGGGGAAUAACCUUGGUGUCCGAAAGGUCGCCUCUGGCGUCUCUGCCCCGAGCAGUGCCUCGCCUAGAGCCCUAAAUAUCUUCGAUCGGGAUUUGAAGAGGAAACAGAAGAACUGGGCGGCCCGGCAGCCCGAGCCUAUGAAGUUUGAGUACCUGAAGGAGGAGGUUGGAAGUCGGAUUGCGGACCGUGUAUAUGACAUAGCCAGAGAUUUUCCCCUUGCUUUGGAUGUCGGUUGUGGAAGAGGUUACAUAGCACAAAAUUUGAAUAAGGAAACUGUUGGAAAAUUUUUCCAAGCGGACAUAGCAGAAAAUGCUUUGAAAAAUACCUUAGAAACGGAAAUUCCUACUGUCACUGUUUUAGCUGAUGAAGAAUUCCUUCCUUUCAGAGAAAAUACAUUUAACCUGGUGGUUAGCAGUUUAAGUUUGCACUGGGUGAAUGACCUUCCUCGAGCACUUGAACAGAUUCAUUAUGUGUUAAAACCAGAUGGAGUUUUUAUUGGCGCGAUGUUUGGAGGCGACACCCUCUAUGAACUUCGGUGUUCAUUACAAUUAGCAGAAACGGAAAGGGAAGGAGGAUUUUCUCCACACAUUUCUCCUUUCACUGCUGUCAAUGACCUAGGACAUCUGCUCGGGAGAGCUGGCUUUAAUACACUGACUGUGGACACUGAUGAAAUUCAAGUUAACUAUCCUGGAAUGUUUGAAUUGAUGGAAGAUUUACAAGAAAAAAGUCAAGAAUGUUGACCUAACUUUACAAAACAAGUUGUAUAUCAGUGAUGAAUGCAUGAAAAAUUUUGGAGGCUAUCACAGUAGUUUUAAGGUGCUACCUGUUAUCUAAUCGUCAGUCAUGGAAACCACAACCAUCAUCAGCAAUAGACUCUUCCAGUAUGAGUCCCAGUUUACCUAUAGUUGAUACUCACUAUGUAGGAGAAUGUUUUAAAAAUUAGAUUAUGUAAUGGGUCCAAAAUGUCAGCAUUGGAAGCCCGGGAGAUCCUCUAGUCUGACUACCUUAAAGACCCAGAGCCAUUGCUCUGAGAUCAUCUAGCUGCUUCAUGACUGCAAGACUGACAUCCACCUUUUUCUUCCUGGUGAUUAAUCCGCUGGUUUGUCUGUUGUUCUUCAUGAAUUGGGCUAUUAUACUCACAGGAUGUGGGGCAUUGCUUUUAGUAUUAGAGAUUCAUUAUUUUAGGGAAUAAUAGGAGCCUUUUAGGGUUGGAGAGAAGAAAAAGGUUUACUUAGUACAGCAAAUUUGUUGAUUGUUUUCAAUAAGGGCAUUGAAAA